UAGUGAACAAGCUGCACUGCAGGCACCUUGCCAGUCAAUCCCAGGCUGCGCAGGUAAGAGCCCCGCCUUUCCACGCACACGGCGGCGCUCAGUGGCUGCCCGAGAAGCCCCACCUAGCCCGCCCUGCCUCUGCUGCAACAAGUUUUCUCUCUCACCUUUUCUUCUUUGCUGCCUUUGUGCUCUACAGUGGCUAAAUUGUUCCGGGGGCUGCCCACAGGAGAGUCCCCGGGACCUAGCUCACCUGCCCGACGCUCCCCGGGGCUUUUCAGCAAGGGGCUUUACCGUAGGCGUUUCAGAUCAUAUGCUUGAAGAACGUCUGGCCUGGAAAAGUGAUUGUUCAUCACAAGGGAAUGGCAGUUCAGGUUGUUUGGUGCCUCCUCAGAGCAUUUUCUACAUUUAUAUCUUGAGUUAACGUGGCAAUGUGAAGAGGUCUAAUAGCAUAUUCCUCAAAAGUGGGAAAUGGCUGUGAAGUGAAUGGAUGGAACAUCAAGCUUUCGUACCCACAACUUGGGAAUUUCUGCCUUAGCCUUUUUUCCCUUAAAUUUUCAAAUGCUGCUGCUGGUAGUUGGAGUGUGAGUGAGGGUGUAGACAAGCAUUUUAACUGCUGUGUUGUCCUGAUCUGCUUUGAGCAGGGUUAGAUAGGGUGACCAGAUGUCCCGAUUUUAUAGGGACAGUCCCAAUUUUGGGGUCUUUUUCUUAUAUAGACUCCUAUUACCUGCCACCCCCGUCCCGAUUUUUCAGAUUUGCUGUCUGGUCACCCUAGGGUUAGAUGACCUGACGAGGCUCAGCUACACUAGAGUUUUACCUUGAAUCAGUUGAUUGCGAGUGACUUUGAAUUAGUUAACAUAUUCGUGAGUAAAGACUAGUUUUGACAAAUGUUUCCCCAAACAUUUUUUUUCCGCGUGCAAAUACUUCUGGUUUACUCUUAGGCUGAGCCUACUGAGGUCACUAGUGGGAGACAGUGGAGAAAGGUGAUAGAAAUUAUGGGCUAUCUUAGGGAAAAAGAGACGGCCCAAGAGGCUGGACUGUGAAGGAAGGUCAUUGGAAUUUUGGCAGUUUGAGACAUGUGGCAUGCAAAUUAGUAAGGUGCUGUCUGGGCUAGUUUAAAACAUGGUUCCACUUGUAGUUUUCCUGCAAACCAAGAGAAGCAUAUUAAGCAAUUGUUAAAUAUUCUCAUCUUUCUAUCAGGGCCUGGAAGCUAUGUUUUCAUACGUGAAAUCUUUUUACCCUUUGUCUAAGUGGCUGUAAAAAAUCCUAGAAGUAGAGUUGGCAUAGACAGCAUGCAGAUGGGGACCCUUGUUAAUGAGGAAUGAAUUCUAAGUCAUAAGAAACAUCAAGAAUGCUUCCUCUCCCAACACUGUCUUUAAUUUUGGUCAUAAAUGUGUUGCUUCUAUUAAAGUAAUUGUAAUAAUACUAAUAAUAAUUGACAAAGACCCUUAUCCUACAGCCAGAUCCACACAGAUUGACUUUUGUGCUCAUAUAGGUAGCCCCACUGAAAUCAGUGGGACUCCAUGUGGGCUGAAUGGUCUGGCUGCACAGAUGUGAUUGCAAGAUCAGGGCCUAAUAGACUAAAAACCACUUUAAAAGAGAUAGGAACAGCCAACUAAUUAUACUUACCUUAAAGAGAGAAGCAGGCAAGACACUUGAUUAUCUAAACAAGGUUAUCUGUGUAGAAAGAUCCACUCCUACCACCGGUUUAAAGGACCACUGUAAACUUGAAAUGUUUAAAAGCUGUUUCAGGUAUUUCAUCUAGCUUUGGUUCUUUCUGCCGUUAUUUGCAGUUUAAGAAUCACAUUUUCCCAUUUUUUAAUCAGCUUUGUUGCUUUUGAAAGUCUCAUAGAGACAGAUGGUGGAAAUUGACUGAGAUUCUGAUUCCAGAACCUGUUCUGGGUAAGUGGACCCCUCUCUAAAGCCUUGUCUAGCCCCAGUGAAGUAAAUGGGGCUCUAUGGAGGUGCAGGAGUCCAACUGUACAGAUCAGCUUACAGGAUUGUGGCCUAACUAAAUAAAUACAAGGGGAACAAUGAAUCUGAUAGUAAA
rnacentral:lncRNA from 1 species